rnacentral:rRNA from 1 species
GCAGUGGGGAAUAUUGCGCAAUGGGCGAAAGCCUGACGCAGCGACGCCGCGUGAGGGAUGAAGGCCUUCGGGUUGUAAACCUCUUUCAGCAGGGACGAAGCGAGAGUGACGGUACCUGCAGAAGAAGCACCGGCCAACUACGUGCCAGCAGCCGCGGUAAUACGUAGGGUGCAAGCGUUGUCCGGAAUUAUUGGGCGUAAAGAGCUCGUAGGCGGUCUGUCGCGUCGGCUGUGAAAACUCGGGGCUCAACCCCGAGCCUGCAGUCGAUACGGGCAGACUAGAGUGCUGUAGGGGAGACUGGAAUUCCUGGUGUAGCGGUGAAAUGCGCAGAUAUCAGGAGGAACACCGGUGGCGAAGGCGGGUCUCUGAGCAGUAACUGACGCUGAGGAGCGAAAGCGUGGGGAGCAAACAGGAUUAGAUACCCUGGUAGUCCACGCCGUAAACGGUGGGUGCUAGGUGUGAGCGGUAUUCCACGCCGUUCGUGCCGCAGCUAACGCAUUAAGCACCCCGCCUGGGGAGUACGGCCGCAAGGCUAAAACUCAAAGGAAUUGACGGGGGCCCGCACAAGCAGCGGAGCAUGUGGCUUAAUUCGACGCAACGCGAAGAACCUUACCAAGGCUUGACAUACACCGAAAACUCGUAGAGAUACGGGGUCCGCAAGGGCGGUGUACAGGUGGUGCAUGGUUGUCGUCAGCUCGUGUCGUGAGAUGUUGGGUUAAGUCCCGCAACGAGCGCAACCCUCGUUCUAUGUUGCCAGCGCGUGAUGGCGGGGACUCAUAGGAGACUGCCGGGGUCAACUCGGAGGAAGGUGGGGACGACGUCAAAUCAUCAUGCCCCUUAUGUCUUGGGCUGCACACAUGCUACAAUGGUCGGUACAAAGGGCUGCUAAACCGCGAGGUGGAGCGAAUCCCAAAAAGCCGGUCUCAGUUCGGAUUGGGGUCUGCAACUCGACCCCAUGAAGUCGGAGUUGCUAGUAAUCGCAGAUCAGCAACGCUGCGGUGAAUACGUUCCCGGGCCUUGUACACACCGCCCGU